AAUUCAAGGCUUCACGGGAUGCAUUUGCUCCAGUGCCAUAUCAUGUUUCUCUCCCUCGAAAAGUAUUUCAAAGUUGUUUCUUUUCCUGUGUUCGAGUGUAAGAGGUUUCCUUUCUGUCAGCUGACUUAAAGGAAAAACUGUUACAUUUGAAUCUUGCUGUGUGCUGUGAUAAUAUAACCUGCCUUCCUGAUGUCCACCAACACUUUUAUCUCGUUUUGCCUGAAGGAUUUCCAGAUAGCACGUGGAGUUCAAACACUCUGCAGGCGGAACAGACUCUCCGCAGGAGGCCGGGCACAUAUGUGGAAUAUUAUGGAUAAGAAAAGCAGAGCUGACAUCCCUGCCAGGAAAACGCAAAAUGAGGAGGCGUGAACUUGUCAACAGUUGAUAAGACAGAAGCCGGGAAGACACUUCUUAACCAAAUAAGCUUUUAGUUGUCGAACUUUAAAGGAAAUGUGUGAAGCUUCAGCUCCACGUUGAAAAGCUGUUUUAUCUUUAUUUUUCCGGUGCGAGUAUCUCUGCUUCACCCAGAGAAUGUGAUGUCUGUGAUUUUGGUUAACCUGCCAUGAGAAAAGAUGCAAAUGAGGCAGGUGGCAAGGACUGACAUGCAAAGUGUGCCCUUUUAUAUGCAAAGUUGGAUGGGAAAAGCACAAGCUGAUAAGCACAAAGACAAACUCACAUUUUUGUGUUUCAAGUUAUCUUGCAUUGAAUGAAUAUGUUUUUUUUUAUUUGUUUUAAACCUCUUGUACAGCCUUGAACAUUAAUAUUGUUCUGCUCCACCUCCUGCAACUUCCUAUUUCAAUUUCCAAAUUGUGUCCUUGAAUGUGAACAUGUGAGCCUGCAGGACUCGAAAGGCUGAUGGAUAAAAACAUGUGCUUCCUGACAGGCACGAGCGUGCGUGCAUGACUUGUCGACUUUGCACUGAACUAGAGUAUUUUUGAAAAGUUCUGUUGCUGU